rnacentral:rRNA from 1 species
GAUGAACGCUGGCGGCGUGCUUAACACAUGCAAGUCGAACGAUGAAGCCCAGCUUGCUGGGUGGAUUAGUGGCGAACGGGUGAGUAACACGUGAGUAACCUGCCCUUAACUCUGGGAUAAGCCUGGGAAACUGGGUCUAAUACCGGAUAGGAGCGUCCACCGCAUGGUGGGUGUUGGAAAGAUUUAUCGGUUUUGGAUGGACUCGCGGCCUAUCAGCUUGUUGGUGAGGUAAUGGCUCACCAAGGCGACGACGGGUAGCCGGCCUGAGAGGGUGACCGGCCACACUGGGACUGAGACACGGCCCAGACUCCUACGGGAGGCAGCAGUGGGGAAUAUUGCACAAUGGGCGAAAGCCUGAUGCAGCGACGCCGCGUGAGGGAUGACGGCCUUCGGGUUGUAAACCUCUUUCAGCAGGGAAGAAGCGAAAGUGACGGUACCUGCAGAAGAAGCACCGGCUAACUACGUG